GGAGAGGUGGCUCAGUGGUUAAGAGCACUGACUGUUCUUCCAGAGGUCCUGAGUUCAAUUCCCAGCAACCACA
rnacentral:tRNA from 1 species